UAUGGCAGAUUAUAUGUAAUGGAUA
rnacentral:tRNA from 1 species